AUGUAUAAAAAGUUCUCUUUCUUUCCUCACAAACUCUAAACCAAAUCUAACCACCCCCUCUCUCCUGCUCUCUUCAUCUCCCUGCUCUUUCCUCUACCUCCACCAAUACAUCUCCUCCACCAGAAAUCCGGCCAACCUAGUCCAGAUUCACAUUGACGUUCCUAAUCAUGAUUUUCUAGGUGAAAUGAAGUUGGAUAUUUUACAAGGGCAUCAUUUAACAGCCACUUCAAGUUUAUGAGGAUUAUUUCAUAGAUAUGUUAAUUUUUCCUUCUGGUAGGAGGAUUUAUUCUUGAAACAGUAAUAUCUUGAAUCGCGUGAUAUGUUCUUUUAAUUGCCUUUUUCAGAUUCGGGAUUC